CACGUAGGGCGCAAGCGUUGUCCGGAAUUAUUGGGCGUAAAGAGCUCGUAGGCGGUCUGUUGCGUCCGCUGUGAAAACUCGGGGCUUAACCCCGAGCCUGCAGUGGAUACGGGCAGACUAGAGGUAGGUAGGGGAGAAUGGAAUUCCCGGUGUAGCGGUGAAAUGCGCAGAUAUCGGGAGGAACACCGGUGGCGAAGGCGGGUCUCUGGGCAGUAACUGACGCUGAGGAGCGAAAGCGUGGGGAGCGAACAGG
rnacentral:rRNA from 1 species